UACGGAGGGGGCUAGCGUUGUUCGGAAUUACUGGGCGUAAAGCGCGCGUAGGCGGCUUUGUAAGUUAGAGGUGAAAGCCCGGAGCUCAACUCCGGAAUUGCCUUUAAGACUGCAUCGCUAGAAUCAUGGAGAGGUGAGUGGAAUUCCGAGUGUAGAAGUGAAAUUCGUAGAUAUUCGGAAGAACACCAGUGGCGAAGGCGACUCACUGGACAUGUAUUGACGCUGAGGUGCGAAAGCGUGGGGAGCAAACAGG
rnacentral:rRNA from 1 species